UACAGGGGGUGCAAACGUUGCUCGGAAUCAUUGGGCGUAAAGCGCACGUAGGCGGUUUGUUAUGUCGGAUGUGAAAGCCCUUGGCUCAACUAAGGAAGUGCAUCCGAAACUGGCAAGCUGGAGUACUAAAGAGGGUCGCGGAAUUCCCGGUGUAGAGGUGAAAUUCGUAGAUAUCGGGAGGAACACCGGUGGCGAAGGCGGCGACCUGGGUAGAUACUGACGCUGAGGAGCGAAAGCGUGGGGAGCGAACAGG
rnacentral:rRNA from 1 species